rnacentral:misc_RNA from 1 species
UCCUCGUUGACCGAGGCAGUCUCGUGUGAAAAAUACAACACACGACGAGGGUUGCGCUCGUUGCGGGACUUAACCCAACAUCUCACGACACGAGCUGACGACGACCAUGCAGCACCUGUCACCGGUCCGGCCGAACCGACUCUCUCGUUUCCGAGAGAUGCGACCGGGAUGUCAAGCCCUGGUAAGGUUCUUCGCUUAGCGUCGAAUUAAACCACACGCUCCACCGCUUGUGCGGCCCCCCGUCAAUUCCUUUGAGUUUUAGCCUUGCGGCCGUACUCCCCAGGCGGGGUACUUAACGCGUUAGCUUCGACACCCAGGGGGUCUAUUCCCCGGAUGCCUAGUACCCGUCGUUUACAGCGUGGACUAC